rnacentral:rRNA from 4 species
CGACCUGAGCUCAGGGGAGAACACCCGUUGAACUUAAGCAUAUC